rnacentral:rRNA from 1 species
UACGUAGGCGGAAGAUUAAGUCAGUGGUGAAAUCUUGCAGCUUAACUGUAAAACUGCCAUUGAUACUGUUAGUCUUGAAUUUAGUUGAGGUAGGCGGAAUGUAUUGUGUAGCGGUGAAAUGCAUAGAUAUAAUACAGAACACCGAUUGCGAAGGCAGCUUACUAAGCUAUAAUUGACGCUGAUGCACGAAAGCGUGGGGAGCGAACAGGAUUAGAUACCCUGGUAGUCC